rnacentral:misc_RNA from 1 species
GUGAAGAACGUAGCGAAAUGCGAUAAGUAAUGCGAAUUGCAGAAUUCAGUGAAUCAUCGAAUCUUUGAACGCACAUUGCGCCCGCCAGUAUUCUGGCGGGCAUGCCUGUCUGAGCGUCGUUUCGACCCUCGCGCCCGGCUUCUGUCGGGGGCGGUGUUGGGGAUCGGCCACACCCUUCAGUGUGAGGCCGGCCCCUAAAUUCAGUGGCGACCACGCUGUAGCCUCCCCUGCGUAGUACUAAAACCACCUCGCAGGCGGAGAGCGGUGCGGCCCGCCGUAAAACCCCCCAACUUUUACAAGGUCGACCUCAGAUCAGGUAGGAAUACCCGCUGAACUUAAGCAUAUCAAUAAGCGGAGGA